rnacentral:rRNA from 1 species
AACGAACGCUGGCGGCAGGCUUAACACAUGCAAGUCGAACGGACGUAGCAAUACGUUAGUGGCAGACGGGUGAGUAACGCGUGGGAACGUGCCCUUUAGUUCGGAAUAACACAGAGAAAUUUGUGCUAAUACCGGAUAAUCACGAGAGGGGAAAGAUUUAUCGCUAAAGGAGCGGCCCGCGUCAGAUUAGCUAGUUGGUGAGGUAAUGGCUCACCAAGGCGACGAUCAGUAGCUGGUCUGAGAGGAUGAUCAGCCACACUGGGACUGAGACACGGCCCAGACUCCUACGGGAGGCAGCAGUGGGGAAUAUUGGACAAUGGGGGCAACCCUGAUCCAGCCAUGCCGCGUGAGUGAUGAAGGCCUUAGGGUUGUAAAACUCUUUUAUCCGGGAAGAUAAUGACUGUACCGGAAGAAUAAGCCCCGGCUAACUUCGUGCCAGCAGCCGCGGUAA